rnacentral:rRNA from 1 species
CCUACGGGAGGCAGCAGUGGGGAAUAUUGCGCAAUGAACGCAAGAGUGAAGCAGCGACGCCGCGUGAAUGACGAAGGCCUUCGGGUCGUAAAGCUCUUUCGACAGGGAAGAAAAUGCCGAUAAGUAACUGUGUAUGUAUUGACGGUACCUGUAUAAGCAGCCGCGGCUAACUCCGUGCCAGCAGCCGCGGUAAUACGGAGGGGGCGAGCGUUGUUCGGAGUGACUGGGCGUAAAGAGCACGUAGGCGGUGUUGUAAGUCAUUAGGCAAAGACUUGGGCUCAACUUUAGUAAGGCUAGUGAUACUGUAAUACUAGAGUAUCAGAGAGGAUUGCGGAAUGCCUGGUGUAGCGGUGAAAUGCGUAGAUAUCAGGAGGAAUACCGUUGGCGAAGGCGGCAAUCUGGCUGGAAACUGACGCUGAGGUGCGAAAGCGUGGGUAGCAAACAGGAUUAGAUACCCGGGUAGUC